UUUUAUUACAAUGUGUCCGAUGAUUUCUGAGGUCAUGGGAUAGUUAUUGAAUGGUGUUCUGAACUUCAAUUAUCAUAUCUGACGCCUCGGGAUGGUUAUUGCAUGGUGUAUGAAUAUAAAUUCUAAUAUUCCGGAAUGGUUAUUGCAUGGUGUAAAACUAUCUCAACAAACUGAGGGGACUGCGUUGAAUGGAAGGACAUUGAACAUUCAUAAUUCGACACACUAGGCUGUGUCAAACUAGCAGUACAUAUUGGAGCCUAUCAACCACAAAAGUGCCCUUUCAAAUUAGCAAGCGGAUAGUGCAGGCCUAACACGUAAUCUCUCGUACAAACGUCUUAGGUAGCCAAUACACAGUUAAGUUAUAAACUCAAAAUAGGAAAAUAACGCCUGGACUCAAACCCAUUUGUAACUCUGUCGGCUUUAAAUCGUAUCUUGUUCCCAUCCUGAAUAGUAACCAGUAGUUGUCGUUUGUUGGUGUGGUUCAUAAUUGUUUCUCGUUUCUCUUUUUUAUAUAGAUAAGACCGUUGUUUUUCCCGUUUGAAUGGUUUUGUAAGACAUUUUGGGGCCCUUUAUAACUUGCUGUUGGGUGUGAAUACCGUACUUUGACCUAUAACGGUUUACUUUUACAAAUUGUGACUUGUAUGGAGAGUUGCCUCAUUGGCACUCAUACCACAUCUUAUAUCUUAUAUCUAUGAGAGACUUUCCGCUAGAAAUUGAACUACAUCCGAUAUUUUUUUUUUAAAUCAACUUGUCAUAGAUGGUGUUUCUACAAUGAAUAUGUUUGAACUAUUUGCCACUGAAGAUAUAGAAAACGAGCUAUCGCAGUCAGCAUGGUCAGUGGAAAGACUAGCUUCCCUUAGUUUAUUCUCAAAUCCGAUAUUUUUUUAUUCAACAGUCCCAUAUGAAAUUCAAAACCUACGUAAGGAAACAGUACGAACUCUGGCAGUACAUUUUGAAUAAGGAGAGGGUAAAGUCACUUGACAUAGUGUACAUAGCAAAAAUCAUUUUUUUGUGAAAUGAUGUGCUUAUAUUUGGGUGGAAAAACCAGAGUAACUUUAUUAAAUACGACCAAACUCAAUAUUUGUUAUAUCCUAAUACGAAAUAAUAC
rnacentral:lncRNA from 1 species